UACGUAGGGGGCUAGCGUUGUCCGGAAUCAUUGGGCGUAAAGCGCGUGUAGGCGGUCCGGUAAGUCCGCUGUGAAAGUCGGGGGCUCAACCCUCGGAUGCCGGUGGAUACUGUCGGGCUUGAGUACGGAAGAGGCGAGUGGAAUUCCUGGUGUAGCGGUGAAAUGCGCAGAUAUCAGGAGGAACACCUAUUGCGAAGGCAGCUCGCUGGGACGUAACCGACGCUGAGACGCGAAAGCGUGGGGAGCAAACAGG
rnacentral:rRNA from 1 species